GAUAUGUACAAUGAAAGCGGCUUCUGAUCCGUCUCUAUCAUUUCCUAUUUGUCCGUUUCUGAAUACUAUUAUCGUGCUAUUUGUCUGAAUAAGAAGAAUAUUGGGCGUGUCCUGUAGCUGUCGCCAAGUUUGGAUGAAUGUGUGAUAUCCUAGCCGCCUUUCAAGAGAUGACUAAGAUAAUUUGCAAGAUCACUGAUCUUUACCAGAACAGUGAUGACAGUCCAGAAGCCGCAGUUGUUCGUCUUUUUCCAAAAAAAUAAUCAAGAUACAGGAAUCGCUGAUAGCCACGAUCACGUAGGUGAAUUCGUCUCCUGUACCUUCUCAUAACAAACCACUUAAAAUAUCUUUGAUUUUGAGCUAUUCCUCGCUGAAAAGUUCUUUCUACCAAAUGAUCAUAAUAAUAACCCAAUGACGAAAAAUAUUAUGCCAAUUGAGAAUUCCAAACCGAGGCUAAGUUUUGCGGUUUUUCGAGCGAUUGUUUGACAAUAAUAAUAUGGUGAACGUGAUCAAGUAAUAAGGUUUGAUCGCGUUAAGUGAAUGAAUAAGACACUCUUAAGAUAUACACAAGCUACUGGUUUUCGUUUGAGAGGACGGAGAUAUGCUGACACUUUUUUAUGUCUUCAUUUUG